UCAGUCCGUGGUUUAGCCAGGUGUUCACCUCCAGAUCAUGACCAGAGGUUAGGCCACGUCUCCCAUGACUCAUCUGCAAGCUUUUAUCAGCUUAGGCAGAAGGUUGGUCGUGAUUUGAGUGAGUUGAAUGUUUUUGAGAGAAAAGAAGAGUUGUGAGGGUUUGAAGCUUUGGAGGAGGAGUUGCUGCGUUUGCUUGUUCCUCUUCUGAUUUCAGGAGGUAAGGGACGUCUUUAAGUUUGUUUUAAUGAGUUUUAACAGCUUUUUAACGAGGUUAUGGAAGUGUAUGCAUGAGUUGCAUGCUUAGGUUAGUUUUGAUGUUUUAAUGGUAAAAGCAUGAUUAUAUGUUGUGUUAGUUGUUUUGUUGGAGUUUAAGUUGUUUUAAGCUCCU
rnacentral:lncRNA from 1 species